GAUGAACGCUGGCGGCGUGCCUAAUACAUGCAAGUCGAGCGAACAGAUGAGGAGCUUGCUCCUCUGACGUUAGCGGCGGACGGGUGAGUAACACGUGGAUAACCUACCUAUAAGACUGGGAUAACUUCGGGAAACCGGAGCUAAUACCGGAUAAUAUAUUGAACCGCAUGGUUCAAUAGUGAAAGACGGUUUUGCUGUCACUUAUAGAUGGAUCCGCGCCGCAUUAGCUAGUUGGUAAGGUAACGGCUUACCAAGGCAACGAUGCGUAGCCGACCUGAGAGGGUGGUCGGCCACACUGGAAGUGGGACGCGGUCCAGACUCCUACGGGAGGCAGCAGUAGGGAAUCUUCCGCAAUGGGCGAAAGCCUGACGGAGCAACGCCGCGUGAGUGAUGAAGGUCUUCGGAUCGUAAAACUCUGUUAUUAGGGAAGAACAAAUGUGUAAGUAACUAUGCACGUCUUGACGGUACCUAAUCAGAAAGCCACGGCUAACUACGUG
rnacentral:rRNA from 1 species